rnacentral:rRNA from 1 species
UUCCUACGGGGGGCAGCAGUGGGGAAUAUUGGGCAAUGGACGCAAGUCUGACCCAGCAACGCCGCGUGAAGGAAGAAGGCUUUCGGGUUGUAAACUUCUUUUAAGGGGGAAGAGGAGAAGACGGUACCCCUUGAAUAAGCCACGGCUAACUACGUGCCAGCAGCCGCGGUAAUACGUAGGUGGCAAGCGUUGUCCGGAUUUACUGGGUGUAAAGGGCGUGCAGCCGGGCUGACAAGUCAGAUGUGAAAUCCGUGGGCUUAACCCGCGAACUGCAUUUGAAACUAUUGGUCAUGAGUGCCGGAGCG